CCCAAACGAGCACAAAAAAGCAGCAGCCAGCGACCAGCAAAAGAAACAAGAAAAACUCCUCUGCUCAUGAGCAGGAGCAGUAUAUAACUGUUAAAAGCUGAUGAUUGUUUUGUUCGAAAGCCAUUGAAGCUUGCUUGAAAUUGCUAUCGACUAGCCUUGACAAUGAGAAAUUAAAAAGCUGAGCCAAUAAACAUUUCGUUUUCUGUUAUUUGAGAUUUUCUUCUUCUUAUUCUUCUUCGGACAACAUACACCAUUAGUAACAUGUUUACAGACAAGUGAGUCAAUGGAGCAACGUUCGUGUAUAGCCCGCCAGACCUCAAAGAGCUUGUUUUUUGACCCCCGAAACCAUGGAAAUCCAGAGCUUUUUAACCUAAUAGCGCACUCAAUUUUGAAUUCCCAACCAUUUUUUUUUUUUAAGAAAAAAAAAAAAUGGCGUCGUUUUUGCUUUCUCGUGCUUCACGUAGGUUUCUCAAGCCACCGUUCUCCUCUUACCUCUUGUCCUUGUCCGUUUCCCAUUCACUCUUCUCUGUGUCUUCGUCACCCUCUUACCCACCACCCGCCACUACCCAUAUCCCUAAUCAUCGCCUUUUCUUCCCAUUUGAUCAAUCGUACGGUCCAACUCCAAGCUCCGUCUUCAAUUUCAGAUCCUUCGCACACUUCUCUACCACCGCCAAGAGCCAGGACAAUCCCAGUGGUGAAGUAAAAGCAUCCCAGGUUUCUUGGAUCGACUUGUAUUUGCCCAGGCAGGUUCGUCCUUAUGCUCACCUCGCUCGCCUCGACAAGCCCAUUGGCACCUGGUUGCUUGCUUGGCCCUGUAUGUGGUCAAUUACUUUGGCAGCCGUUCCGGGUCACCUUCCUGAUUUUAAGAUGUUGGCACUAUUUGGUUGUGGGGCUCUGCUUUUAAGGGGUGCUGGAUGUACCGUAAAUGAUCUCCUUGAUCAAGAUAUUGACAAAAUGGUGGAACGUACAAAAUCGAGGCCUGUUGCUAGUGGUCUUCUAACACCUUUUCAGGGGCUUUCUUUUCUUGGGUUUCAGUUGCUUCUGGGUCUUGGGAUUCUUCUUCAACUGAAUAAUUAUAGUCGCAUUUUAGGAGCUUCGUCUUUGUUGCUAGUCUUCUCCUACCCUCUCAUGAAGAGAUUUACAUUUUGGCCUCAAGCCUAUCUAGGUUUGACAUUUAAUUGGGGAGCUUUAUUAGGAUGGGCUGCGGUUAAAGGAAGUAUUGAUCCAGCUACAGUGUUCCCACUAUACAUUUCUGGAGUAUUUUGGACUCUAGUAUAUGACACAAUAUAUGCACAUCAGGAUAAGGAAGAUGAUGUGAAAGUUGGUGUUAGAUCUACAGCUUUGAGAUUUGGGGCUUUGACUAAGGAGUGGAUUACCGGAUUUGGUAUUGCAUGCAUUAGCAGUCUUGCCGUCAGUGGAUAUAAUGCUGAGAUUGGAUGGCCAUAUUAUGUCUUUUUGGCAGGUGCAUCUGGUCACUUAGCUUGGCAAAUAUGGACAGUUGACCUUUCAUCCCGAGCUGAUUGCAAUAGCAAAUUUGUGUCCAACAAGUGGUUUGGCGCUAUUAUUUUCAGUGGAAUCUUAUUGGGAAGAUUAUCAUCAUAAAGGGAAAGAACGUUUGCAGAUGUAAAAUAGUCCAAGAGUUGAAAGAAAACAAAUAUGCAGCACAUAGAAGUGAUUUUACACACUGAACUUGCACCCCAAUAGACUGCGCCUUUAUUACUUCAAUAUGACUCAAAAAAUAUUAAACUUGUUUUCUUUUCAGCACCUAGAAGCAUAAUAGAGUAUCUCAGCCCAAUUAAAAAAUAAAAAAAUAAAAAAAGCAUAAAGUUAAGAAAGUUAUGAUUUUUUAGUUUA